AGGAGGAGGCAUGGCAUCCACAGAG
rnacentral:misc_RNA from 1 species